CUUGCAAUGGAAAAGUGAAUUUAUUGAGGAUGAAUUUGAUUCUUAAAAGGCCAUGAGUUCGACGCUCUUGAAGUAAAAGUUGCUUAAAGAAACUCCAGUCAAACGGGGCUGAUUUACUUAGAAGCUAUCAUUACACGAAUUUUACACCGGUCCUUGAAAAAUAUCAGCUGUGAAACUACAUUUUAUUAGAUACCUUUCAAAAGAAUUAAUUGGUAUAAGCUCUAGUUCGUUGAAAUAAACUUCAAAUGUCACCAAUUUUGCAAAGGAUUCACUUUUAUCCAAGGACAUGACUGUAUGGAAUGUCUGUUGACAAGAAACAGUUUUAUUUGGAUUGGUUCUAUAUCGAUGGAGGUCGCUACAUUUGCCUCUGCUAAUUUUCUUGAUAGAACGACCAUUUCUGCGUAACUUUCAAAAUGACCAAUUAAACACCCUAGGAGCCAUUACAAGAAUCCACUAAAUUACAUCUAUUCUUUCUUUCUUCAUUUGAGCAGAAGGUACAGGUGUUUCAGAUGGACAAGCUCGGUAAUUUUGUAAAGAACAAUAAACAUGCUGCCCAAACACAAAAUAAAUGUGUUGGCGUCGCGGCGUCGCGGCGUCGCGGCGUCGCUGUUCCCCGAAACACAAUCAUUAUUUACUGAGCGGCAAGGAUGAGGUUUUCACUAUGAAAUCAGCUUUGCUUCUCGUUCACCUGGAUCGGAAACUAAAAUUAUCAAAAGACCCACGCCCAAUGCGUACCUGGGCACAUUUACCGUCCGUAGAAAUUCUUGCAGGCAAAGCGCCUCGCUAUAAAGUUUUAUAUUGAUAGAUGUUGGCCUUACCUUGAUGCGGAUCUUCAUUGAUCAGUGAAAUUUUCUCUCUGUACAUUGCUAUUUCAUUUCCAGAUGUGUUUGCAAGUAAACUUGCAGCUGCGUGUAGUGGUGUAGUCGUAAAAUUUUAGGAGGUUUAACACAAGUUUAACAGCGUUUUAUCAGUUUUUUCUUCUGUGGUCUUGGAAAAAAAGCUCAAAAUAGGCAUUGUACACUAAGACACACUAUUUCAAUACUCGUCAAAAGUGUGCAAUUUGACUAAGAACUCCUUACUUGCUGCCGGCUGCUGAAUUCUACAACCCUAGUUUGAAAAAAUCUGCAAUUCUAGACCUUUGCAAUCAACUAACAAACGCUCUUGGUAAAGAAACACCUUCUUGUACAUUUGUAUACUUUGCUAAGGCUUUUGACACGGUUGACCACAAAAUUUUAACAUAUAAACUCGGUCACUAUAGUAUAAAAGGUCCUGCUUUAAAUUGAUUAAGGUCAUACCUAUAAAGUCGAAUUCUACAAGUUUACAUUAACGGCACUUUGUCUAAACCCCGAAUUAUAACACACGGAUUACCCAAAAGUCCUCUUCUUUACAUUAAUGAGCUACCCUCUUGCUCCAGACUUCUUAGUUUUCAUCUUUUUGCUGAUGACACAGGCAUCUUUUUUUCUCAUACUAAUGCGAAGGACCUUGAGUCAGGGAUGUAAAUUGGCAGAUAUUUGGGGAGGGGGAGUGAAGGGCCCAAAAUUUCCGAUUGACAAAGGUCAAUUCUAAUUUUGUAUGAGGGCCUAAACUUUAAUAGUUUUUUACCAACAAAACCUUAUAAAUUGUGUCGUAAAUAAUUAUUCAGCUGUAUGAUAAAGUUUCUAGAUUUCAUAAAUUUGGAAGAUCGAGCAUAAAAACUGUUAGUUUAAUUAGUGCAUCAAAACAUACGUAGUCCAAAAAUCAGAUCGUAAUUUAAGAAACAUGAGGUCGUUUGGUCUUUCAUCGGUCGAUCUCGAACGGAGGAAGUUCUUGACAAUCUUCGAGCGACUAAAUGCUCUUUCAUUCUUUGCUACUGAUAUAUGAGUAGUAAGAGCUAACUUGUAAGUUCUUUAAGUCAUGGGAAAUGUACUGCGCUGUGUCACACUCUCCAGUAUUUAUGUGCCUGCCUUGACUUCAUUGUAAAUCAAGCUUUGUAGAAUUUUGCUCGUUAUCUUGGUAUUUUUCAAUUACAAAUAUAUAUCACAAUUUGCUUUAACUUUAGUGUUCCUGUAUUCAUUGUGUCAACUAUUCAAUAAAAAGACACUGGUCCAGAAAACCUCUGGGCUUGUCUCAAUCUCCUUGGCAAAAUUUCAACCCUAAAAUAAAACUUAUCAUUGUUAGUUAUCAUUCAUAUACAUCAGAAAGUGUUAUUAAAAUUUGUUGCUGAUGAAAAGAAUUUGAUUUGAUUGAUUUGAUGAGGGGACAAAGGAUGUUUACAUGAAGCAAUCUGAGGGCACUGCCUCGAGUUGACUUUGAUGGGAUGAAUGGCGGCAAACGUGAAGCCAAUGGAGUGGUUGGUCCCAUUGACGAUUAGGGUGCGAAUGCUAUGCCUGUGUGGAGAGAUUUCUUGUUUAUGAUAUCAUUUGGAAUCUUUAAUAAAAGCCUCCAAAUAAUGGCCAAAAGAUGAAUCUUUCAAGCUCUCAAAAAUCUGUUAGAAUGACUGAAGGAAGAUAUCAUUUGGAAUUUCAAACAGAAGUCUCCAAAUUUUGUUAAAAAGGUACGUCUAGGGACAAAGCUGCCAGAAGGUGCAAACGCUUCCCGAUGCCUCUUUUUGGCUUUGGAAAACGGCUGAAGAAAUUGUCUCCUUCCUGGGCGAAGGUAGAUGAAGCUUCAAAAGCACUUAGUGAACUGAAACAUUGCAAAAGCAAAAAUGGGUGCUCUAAAGUCAAGCGCUUUGCACAGAGCUUCGCAACUGUAUUGCAGAGUGUAACGUAGAUGGAUAGAAUACAGCAUGAUACUGCGCUGUAUGUUUUUACUCAUUUUAUCAGGAAACUUUAGAAAGCACUAGCAUACCAGACAUGAGAAUCCUCGCUUUGAAAACAGCACAAGGGAUACUUUAGUUUGAAGAUCUCUUUUUCCAGCCUAUCAAACUAUUCAGGUUUUAAAAAUUAUAAUCAUAAAGCUAACUAUAAGCAAGUUACUUUAAUGACGUCUUCCGAGGACUAGGCAAGAGUACCCUAGUCUAAGAAAAGCAAAGGGUAUUUCUAAGUUGCGGGAUAAUGUUAAACUUUUUCAGCAUAUCAAACUGUUUAGGUUUACCAAGUUUCAUGAGUGUUUAGCUAACUGUAUGAAGGUUGCUACAAUAACGUGUUCCGUGGACUGGGUACAGGUAUUCUAGUCUAUUAAUAGCGCUAUGGGUAUUUCUGAGUAAGGAAACCACUUUAUCUUUUUUAUCAUCUCAAAUUAUACAGUUUUACCAAAUUUUGUGCCACUAUAGCUAACAGGAAGGUACUAACAGCAAUAAUGUCUUCCAAGGACUGGGCACAAGUACCCCUUGUCUAAAAUUAGCACAAGGGGUAUUUUCAAGUUGAGAGACCUCUUUGAACUUUUCUGUUUAUCAAAUAAUGCAGGUUUACAAAGUUGGUUGUAAAGCUAACAAGAAGAAAUAUAGCACAACAAUGUGUCCCGUAGACUCGGCACAUGUUCCCUAGUCUAAAAAUAGCCCAAGAGGGCAUUUGUCAGAAGGGGUCUAUUUCCUAUUUUAUUAGACUCCUUAAGCAUUAUUAGACUACUAGAAGAUACAACUCGUGGAAAAAAGUAUCGCCAUGCACAGUGAGAACCUGUAUGAAAUCAAUGAUCAUGCUGACCAAGUUGAGUAUCAGUUGGAGUAUCUGGAUAAUCAGAGCCGCCGUAGCAAUGUCAGAAUUACCGGUGUUAGCGAAAACAAGGUCACAGAGAAAUCAUGGGAUGAUGUCAUAGAGUUAAUCGGCGAAACAACAGCUAUCGUAACCCAAAUCAAGUAGACCAAAUCAAAAUCUAGUAGCCUAGGCCUAUCAGUUUCUCAUAGGGCAAGCUCUAUAAAUGACAGUAGUUAUCAUGAAGUAUCCUUUGGUUAAUUUGCUGAACCUAACUGUUGUGUUGUUUACAGUGUUUGUUGAUCAGAAUUGUUGUUUUUACUUCAUUAAUAUCAUAUUUUCAUCAGUUUAGAUGCCUGAAAUAACAACGUCGUGUGGCAUUUGCCACAAAAACAUACCAGAUAAGCCUUUUCUCUCCUGCCAUUAUUGCAAUUCUUGUUUCCACAUAGAAUGUAAGGAAAUUUCUUUAUCGGAGUAUACAGCAAUUAUCAAUAGAGUUCACAAAGUUCCAUGGUUUUGCCUUACAUGCACAAUAGCACAAAAUGAAUCAAUUGUUCCUUUUUGAACAAUUGACGAUGUUGAAUUAUUAAACUUGUAUGAAGUGAAUAUCCCAUCCUUUCUCAAAUCAGCGCCAUCUUUCCAGAUCACCUCAAAUCUUAUGAAUUUGCCCAACCUUGGAGACUAUGAUGUUGCUGAGCGUUUACCUGUCAAUACUAACUCCUCUCAUCACACAUUACAGGACCUUUCUAAUCAUGAGCAUUCCCAAAAUGAUUUUUCUCUGCUACAUAUGAAUAUCAGAAGUCUGUCUUGUCACUAUGGUGAGCUUGUUUCUACUUUUGUGAGUCUGUCUAUUAAAUUUGAUGUUUUUGGAGUUUUUGAAACUUAGGAUUCUUUUGAAAAUCCAAUGAAAACCAAUGUUGAGAUUCCUGGUUACAGCUUUUUCUCUGGCCAAUCACACAAUCAGAAUGAUGGUGUUUGUAUUUAUGUAAAAGCUGGUCUUUCCCUAAUUGACAGAUUGACUUGAACAAUACCACUGCAGAUUAUGAAGCUGUCUGGGUUGAGGUUGAAAAUAGAAAAGGAAAAACACUUAUUAUUUAGCUGCUUGUAUCGCCAUCCAAACUCUAACCCUGAUAACCUCACUACCUAUUUGCUAGAAAUUCUUUCUAAUGCAGCUGUCACAAGCAAAUAAAUAUUUCUUUUAGGCGAUUUCAACCUUCUUUCACAACUUCUUUGAAUCUGUGUCAAAUACUCAUCAAUAUGCUACACGGUAAGCCACAAAAAAUGACAUUUUCUUAAUACGGAAAAAUACUCUACAAUAUGGUAUCAAGUCUGUACGUUUCCUUGGUGCUAAAUCUUGGAACAAUAUCCCAGUGGAUAUAAAAAUAUCAUUGUCUGUUGUCAGGUUUUCUCAAAAGUUUAAAACCUUUUUAUUCAACAAGAACUAUCAAAUUUGAUUUUGAAGCAAAAUUUAUAGUUUUAUCAUUCAUGUAAAUGAUCAAUUACUUUAAAAACUACCCUAGGAAAGGGGGUGCUCUCUCUUUGAUUAGUUUAUCUACUGAGAGAGCUCCUCCUAAAGAAAUUCCUCUACAAACAACAUCUUAUGUAAUCGCUAUUCAUUGUUAUUGAGUAUUUUAUUGUUAUUGCCUAUAUAUUGUCAUUAGUAAUGUGUUAACAUUGUAUGUAAUUAUUUGUAAUGUAGAAUAAAAAGAUGCUGUAUGUAGAGGGAUUUUAAAAUAUAAAACUGGACUGAACUGAAAUAUUACGCAUGUCAAAUUGUGCAUUUUCUUCACGUUCUAUGCUUUUCUCGCAACUUGCACGAUUUUUCAUCUUGUCAAUCUAUCUGGUACGCAGCUCAUGAACUGCAAGGAACCCAAUAAACUGAAAACAACUUAUCCUUACAUCUACGGGUUCACAACUUUCAAGAGUUUGCC